AUUGAACGCUGGCGGCAGGCCUAACACAUGCAAGUCGAACGAGUGGCGGACGGGUGAGUAAUGUCUGGGAAACUGCCUGAUGGAGGGGGAUAACUACUGGAAACGGUAGCUAAUACCGCAUACCAUCGGAUGUGCCCAGAUGGGAUUAGCUAGUAGGUGGGGUAAAGGCUCACCUAGGCGACGAUCCCUAGCUGGUCUGAGAGGAUGACCAGGCAGCGUGGAACUGAGAAGCGGUCCAAACUCCUACGGGAGGCAGCCGUGGGUAAUAUGGCACGCAGGGCGCAAGACUAAUGCAGCCAUGCCGCGUGUAUGAAGAAGGAAUUCGGGUUGUAAAGUGCUUUCCGCGGGAAGGCGUUACCCGCAGAAGAAGCACCGGCUAACUCCGUGCCAGCAGCCGCGGUAAUAC
rnacentral:rRNA from 1 species